CAGGAUGAACGCUGGCGGCGUGCUUAACACAUGCAAGUCGAACGAAGCAUUCCAACUCUCGGAGGAAGAAAUGACUGAGUGGCGGACGGGUGAGUAACGCGUGGGUAACCUGCCUUAUACAGGGGGAUAACAGUUAGAAAUGACUGCUAAUACCGCAUAACCCGCUAGUACCGCAUGGUACAGACGGAAAAGAUUUAUCGGUAUAAGAUGGACCCGCGUCUGAUUAGCUAGUUGGUGAGGUAAUGGCUCACCAAGGCGACGAUCAGUAGCCGGCUUGAGAGAGUGAACGGCCACAUUGGGACUGAGACACGGCCCAAACUCCUACGGGAGGCAGCAGUGGGGAAUAUUGCACAAUGGGGGAAACCCUGAUGCCAGCAACGCCGCGUGAAGGAAGAAGUAUUUCGGUAUGUAAACUUCUAUCAGCAGGAAAGAAAAUGACGGUACCUGACUAAGAAGCCCCGGCUAACUACGUGCCAGCAGCAGC
rnacentral:rRNA from 1 species